AAAUCUCAUUUGGGUCCCUCCCAGGUGUUGUAGUCCUCUCAGUGCCGAACUACAACAGCGUGGGCUUUCCACAGAGUCGCAGUCUUCUUCAGGCACAGCCACCUGCUACGGCGUGGGGUCCUCCAUGGACUGCAGGCCAGCAU